UACAGAGGUCUCAAGCGUUGUUCGGAUUCAUUGGGCGUAAAGGGUGCGUAGGCGGCCAACUAAGUCAGACGUGAAAUCCCUCGGCUUAACCGGGGAACUGCGUCUGAUACUGGUUGGCUUGAAUCCGGGAGAGGGAUGUGGAAUUCCAGGUGUAGCGGUGAAAUGCGUAGAUAUCUGGAGGAACACCGGUGGCGAAGGCGGCAUCCUGGACCGGUAUUGACGCUGAGGAGCGAAAGCCAGGGGAGCAAACGGG
rnacentral:rRNA from 1 species